rnacentral:rRNA from 1 species
AGUGAACGCUGGCGGUAGGCCUAACACAUGCAAGUCGAACGGCAGCACAGUAAGAGCUUGCUCUUACGGGUGGUGAGUGGCGGACGGGUGAGGAAUACAUCGGAAUCUACUUUUUCGUGGGGGAUAACGUAGGGAAACUUACGCUAAUACCGCAUACGACCUACGGGUGAAAGCAGGGGAUCUUCGGACCUUGCGCGAUUGAAUGAGCCGAUGUCGGAUUAGCUAGUUGGCGGGGUAAAGGCCCACCAAGGCGACGAUCCGUAGCUGGUCUGAGAGGAUGAUCAGCCACACUGGAACUGAGACACGGUCCAGACUCCUACGGGAGGCAGCAGUGGGGAAUAUUGGACAAUGGGCGCAAGCCUGAUCCAGCCAUACCGCGUGGGUGAAGAAGGCCUUCGGGUUGUAAAGCCCUUUUGUUGGGAAAGAAAAGCAGCAGGUUAAUACCCCGCUGUUCUGACGGUACCCAAAGAAUAGGCACCGGCUAACUUCGUG